AGUCCGAGUGGGAAUU
rnacentral:tRNA from 9 species